GGAAGGGUAGAAAUGAUUGCCAAAAACUAAACAGAAUUGUUUCAGCAGCUGUAUUGGAAUUUAACUACUAAUGGAAGCACAACAAAAAUCAUCUUGCUUCAUGCCAGGGGGUAAGGUAGAGCUAGGUGAAUCAUGUGGAAUGCAGUAAACAAUGCAGUAGCAUAACAUUUCAGGAGUGCAGUGCACAAUGCUGAGUGAUGGGAUUUGGAGAAGCAUGAUGUGUGUGUACAUUCCAGAACUGUAUACUAUUCUGUAACUGUCUGUCAUUUCAUGAGCGUUUGCAACACAAGAUGCAACAGAGUUACAUAGGUGGGUCACCACAAGGGAACUUAAAGGAACACUCCGGUCCAGGCCUAUUGGGCCUGGUCCUAAAAAUUGUGAUGGGGCUGGUUACAAAAUCUUGAUAACAGAAAACACUAGAUGAAUUCAUAAGAAUACACAGAGCUGGGCACAAAACAAAGAUAUUUAUACAAAAUACAGAUCUAAGCAUUAUUUAUAUAGCGCCAACUUAUUCACCAGUGAUUUACAAUUUUAUAAAAGGGGGGGAAUUUAACAAUAGAUGAGACAAUUACAUUACAUGAGAGAGACUUGGGCAUUUGUCUGUCUUUUGAGUUUAGAUUCAUUGAGCUUAAGUAUCAGGAAGUAAAGGGACCGGUUGACUAACAAUUUUAUUAAAAGAAAGUGUACAAUUGUCAUGAUAUAGUGAAAACUCAAUGCUCCAUGGGAUAUAACUUUAACCCACAAUAUGUAUACAAAGCAAACACAAAACACAGUGGGAGCAGAUAAGGUAUACCUUAAAAAAUGGAUGGGAAAUUAUGAGUAAGAAUCUGUAAUAAAAUGACAGGGAAACAAUAGUGCAGAUAGUUUUCAAAAGUAUAAAAUAUCCAUAACAAGUAAUGUACACUCAAAAAUGUAGAGGCAUAUUGACACCUGGCUCUAGUGGAUGAAACUUUAGGAUCCUAAGGGAGACCCUCACCCCUCUUCUAUGUAUGGAAUCCCGGACAAUAUGAGUAAUGUUGAUCCUGGGUCCCGAUAUCUUCGAAAAAGAGGAGAAAAUCUACAAAGUAUGGAAUUAAACUCCGAUAAAAAAAAUAAACCAAAAAUCAAAUCCUAAUAGUGCUGGAUAGUAGAAACUAGUGUUCUCCAAUAGUUAAAAUUGCCCAGAACGCGUUUUGCCAAGUAAAUUGGCUUCCUCAGCUGGUGAAUUCACUGCUUUUAUUUCUGUCCGGUUUUAUAGGUCCUUAAUUGGUUGACUCUCCCCACCUGCGUUGGAUGUGCACAUCUCUCGUGGAACGCACAUUAUGUUUCAUUCGGUGGCGACGCCUUACUUCCCGUAACAGAAGAAGAUGAACAAUUUAAAAU